GGCUUGUCCGAGUGCAGUGGUGUUUACGAUUAAUUGAUGACAAUGAGUUACAGAUUUUUUUGUUCUUUCUCCAUUCCCAUUGCUUCACUUGACUAGUUAAAA
ensembl:misc_RNA Y_RNA Y RNA